rnacentral:rRNA from 1 species
UACGUAGUUAGCCGUGGCUUUCUAAUAAGGUACCGUCAAGGUACAGCCAGUUACUACUGUACUUGUUCUUCCCUUACAACAGAGUUUUACGAUCCGAAAACCUUCUUCACUCACGCGGCGUUGCUCCAUCAGGCUUUCGCCCAUUGUGGAAGAUUCCCUACUGCUGCCUCCCGUAGGAGUCUGGGCCGUGUCUCAGUCCCAGUGUGGCCGAUCACCCUCUCAGGUCGGCUACGCAUCGUCGCCUUGGUGAGCCGUUACCUCACCAACUAGCUAAUGCGCCGCGGGCCCAUCCUAUAGCGAUAGCAGAACCAUCUUUCAGCAUUCCAACAUGAGUUGAAAUGAAUCAUUCGGUAUUAGCUCCGGUUUCCCGGAGUUAUCCCCAACUAUAGGGCAGGUUGCCCACGUGUUACUCACCCGUCCGCCGCUAACAUCAGAGAAGCAAGCUUCUCAUCAGUUCGCUCGACUUGCAUGUAUUAGGCACGCCGCCAGCGUCG